rnacentral:rRNA from 1 species
UAACGCGAAGAACCUUACCAAGGCUUGACAUGAACCGGAAAUACCUGGAAACAGGUGCCCCGCUUGCGGUCGGUUUACAGGUGGUGCAUGGUUGUCGUCAGCUCGUGUCGUGAGAUGUUGGGUUAAGUCCCGCAACGAGCGCAACCCUUGUCCUGUGUUGCCAGCAUGCCCUUCGGGGUGAUGGGGACUCACAGGAGACCGCCGGGGUCAACUCGGAGGAAGGUGGGGACGACGUCAAGUCAUCAUGCCCCUUAUGUCUUGGGCUGCACACGUGCUACAAUGGCCGGUACAAUGAGCUGCGAUACCGUGAGGUGGAGCGAAUCUCAAAAAGCCGGUCUCAGUUCGGAUUGGGGUCUGCAACUCGACCCCAUGAAGUUGGAGUUGCUAGUAAUCGCAGAUCAGCAUUGCUGCGGUGAAUACGUUCCCGGGUCUUGUACACACCGA